UUGUUUUGGCAGCACAUAAACUAUAAUUGGAGCUAUACAGAGAAGAUAAGCAUGGCCACCACACAGUGGUGACAAAUUCCUGAGAAAUUCCAUAUUUUU
rnacentral:snRNA from 1 species